rnacentral:rRNA from 1 species
UACAGAGGGGGCAAGCGUUGUUCGGAAUUACUGGGCGUAAAGGGCGCGUAGGCGGCCUGUUAAGUCGAACGUGAAAUCCCCGGGCUUAACCGGGGAACUGCGUCUGAUACUGGAUGGCUUGAGUUCGGGAGAGGGAUGCGGAAUUCCAGGUGUAGCGGUGAAAUGCGUAGAUAUCUGGAGGAACACCGGUGGCGAAGGCGGCAUCCUGGACCGACACUGACGCUGAGGAGCGAAAGCCAGGGGAGCAAACGGG